CCUACGGGGGGCUGCAGUAGGGAAUAUUGGACAAUGGGCGAAAGCCUGAUCCAGCCAUGCCGCGUGAGUGAUGAAGGCCUUAGGGUUGUAAAGCUCUUUCGCCAGGGACGAUAAUGACGGUACCUGGAUAAGAAGCCCCGGCUAACUUCGUGCCAGCAGCCGCGGUAAUACGAAGGGGGCUAGCGUUGUUCGGAAUCACUGGGCGUAAAGCGUAUGCAGGCGGACCGUUAAGUCGGGGGUGAAAUCCCAGGGCUCAACCCUGGAACUGCCUUCGAUACUGGCGGUCUUCGAGUCCGGGAGAGGUGAGUGGAACUCCGAGUGUAGAGGUGAAAUUCGUAGAUAUUCGGAAGAACACCAGUGGCGAAGGCGGCUCACUGGCCCGGUACUGACGCUGAGAUACGAAAGCGUGGGGAGCAAACAGGAUUAGAUACCCGGGUAGUC
rnacentral:rRNA from 1 species